CUUCGCCAACCACUCCAUUAGAACCCUCCGACUGAGGCUUCGAAUAAUGACGGCAAGACCCUCUCAAUCUUUUUUUGAGGCCUCCAUUUCCUUCUUCGUAAACUUAAGAAUUUUCGUGAAGUAUCGUUGAAGAUUCUUAGAUCCUCCUAAAAAAUUGUGCAAUAUCCACAAUGGUUGUCAUGGACCCCCUUGCACUAUUUUCGACCAAUCCGAUCCCUUUCGUUGGAGCCUGCGGAUGACC
rnacentral:lncRNA from 1 species